rnacentral:lncRNA from 1 species
GUUAGGGUUAAACACUCGUUUUUCUGACAGGCUGGGGAGAACAGCAGAAACAAGCUGUGAAUGAGUCUGGAGAGAGCGGCCGAUGCUGAGCCGCCAUGCUUCGCUCCACGGGCCGCCGCUUUCCAGGUUAUGAGCAUACUUGUGUGCUGUGAGACGGAGCUACUGAGUUCUUUAAUCCAGGGAAUCUCAACCAGUGGGUCUGAUGGGUCACAGACGGCAGUGAAACACGACACUGUGUUCAUUUACACGUGAGUAAAAAAUCAAACAUUUUGCAUUGCAAUUUUAUAGUUGUACUAUAUAAUAAGCAACUAAUCAAUAGUGAUAAUUGGUCC